UGCGUAACGCGUAUGCAACCUACCAUCAACAGGGGGAUAACACUGAGAAAUUGGUACUAAUACCCCAUAAUAUCUCAUGCGGCAUCGCAUGGGGUUGAAAACUCCGGUGGUUGAUGAUGGGCAUGCGUUGUAUUAGCUGGUUGGUGAGGUAACGGCUCACCAAGGCGACGAUGCAUGGGGGGACUGAGAGGUUAACCCCCCACAUUGGUACUGAGACACGGACCAAACUCCUACGGGAGGCAGCAG
rnacentral:rRNA from 1 species